CCUACGGGAGGCAGCAGUGGGGAAUAUUGCACAAUGGGGGAAACCCUGAUGCAGCGACGCCGCGUGAGUGAAGAAGUAUUUCGGUAUGUAAAGCCCUAUCAGCAGGGAAGAAAAUGACGGUACCUGAUUAAGAAGCCCCGGCUAACUACGUGCCAGCAGCCGCGGUAAUACGUAGGGGGCCAGCGUUAUCCGGAUUUACUGGGUGUAAAGGGAGCGUAGACAGCAGCACAAGUCAGGAGUGAAAUGCCGUGGCUUAACCCCGGAACUGCUUUGGAAACUGUGCAGCUAGAGUACAGGCGAGGUAAGUGGAAUGCGUAGUGUAGCGGUGAAAUGCGUAGAUAUUAGGAGGAACACCAGUGGCGAAGGCGGCUUACUGGACUGUGACUGACGUUGAGGCUCGAAAGCGUGGGGAGCAAACAGGAUUAGAUACCCGAGUAGUC
rnacentral:rRNA from 1 species